rnacentral:rRNA from 1 species
AUAGCGUAUAUUAAAGUUGUUGUGGUUAAAAAGCUCGUAGUUGGAUCUCAGUUCGAGUCAAGCGGUCCACUUGUUAGUGGUUACUGUUUGACUGAACACUUUACCGAGUUGUCCUAUGGUGCUCUUCACCGAGUGCCAUAGGCGAUCGGUACGUUUACUUUGAAAAAAUUAGAGUGCUCAAAGCAGGCGUAACGCCCGAAUAAUGUUGCAUGGAAUAAUGGAAUAGGACCUCGGUUCUAUUUUGUUGGUCUUCGGAAUCUGAGGUAAUGAUUAAGAGGGACAGACGGGGGCAUUCGUAUUGCGACGCUAGAGGUGAAAUUCUUGGACCGUUGCAAGACGAA